CAAGCAGGACGGGCGGUCGCCGUUCCGGCCCAUUUACGGGUCGGGAGGGAGGAAAGUCCGGGCACCACCAGGCAGGAUGCCCGCUAACGGCGGGGCGGGGAAACCCGACGGACAGUGCCACAGAAACAUACCGCCGUGAUCAUUCACGGUAAGGGUGAAAUGGCGAGGUAAGAGCUCACCGCCCGGUCGGUAACGAUCGGGGCAGGGUAAACCCCAUCCGGUGCAAGGCCAAAUAGGGGGACGUAAGCGUCUGGACAGUCCCCGGGUUGGCCGCUCGACCCCUUCAGCAAUGGAGGGGCUAGAUGGAUGACCGCACAGGGUCUGAUCGUGGGGAUGAAGGCUAGAUCGUAAACCCACGGACGGACCCGGACAGAACCCGGCUUACAGUCCGACUUGCUUA
rnacentral:RNase_P_RNA from 1 species